GCCUCGCGCACGGCGAGGAGACGGUUGGUGGCUGACGCAGGCAGCGCUCCUCGCCCGCCGCUUCUUCCCUCCCCUGCGAGCUGAGGCUUUUCCUGCCGCCAGAGGGCGCCCCGCUCGCGCCUGGUGGCGGGGAUGCCGCGGAGCCAUGGAGCUGGACGAGGCGUUCGGCUCCGUGGGGCAGUUCGGCCGGAGCCAGAAGCGCCUCACCGCCUUCCUGGUGCUGCUGCAGGUAUAUGUGGCCUGUCAGUCUAUGCUUAUUGUAUUAGUGGGGGCUGUGCCAGAGUAUCAUAUUGACCAGGGCGAAAUUCCUGCUAGCACAGAGGAGCUUGCCAGACAUGUCCGAUUUGCAGAUAACUUCACAUCUAUAGCAACUGAGUGGUACUUAAUCAGACAUGAGGCCUAUAAAGUAAACCUGGCAUCAUCCUUGUAUUUUGCUGGAUUGCUUAUUGGAAAUAUAUUUUUUGGACCAUUGUCUGACAGAUUGGGCAGGAAACCAGUGUACAUGUCAGGUCUAUUCUUUGAUGUCAUUUUUGGAUAUGUCACAGCAUUUGCUCCAAGUUAUGAAAUUUUUGCAAUGUCACGCUUCAUUGUUGGGAUUAUGAAUGGUGGAAUGUCUCUAGUGUCUUUUGUCUUGACACAAGAAUAUGUAGGAAAGUCUUACUGGGCAUUAACAGGCUCGUUAACAAAUUUAACAUUUGCAGUCGGCAUAGCAAUUUAUGCCUUCCUGGGUUACUACAUACGAGAAUGGCGCUUCCUUGCAUUUGUAUCAAAUUCUCCAGGGGUUUUCUUCUUUCUUCUUUCUUUUAUGCUUCCAGAAUCACCAAGAUGGCUGUAUUCCCAGGGGAAUACUGCAGAAGCAGAGGAUGUGCUUCAAUAUCUGGCCUGUGGUAAUGGAAAAGAAAGGUUGACUAUAAAAUUGAAACCAUGUGCAGGAACAAUGAAAAAGAAUGACUCAGCAUCUGGUGUCCUAAACAUAGUAAGACACCCAGUCCUUCGGUGCCGAACUAUCAUCUUGAUGUAUAUCUGGUAUGUCUGCAGCCUUGUAUACUAUGGCCUAACAUUCAGUGCUGGUGAAUUAGGAGGAAAUCUGUAUCUAAAUGUAGCUCUUUAUGGCCUUAUAGAAGUUCCGGCAUUUCCUCUCUGCAUGUUUUUUAUUGAGAAAUCCUGGUCUGGAAGACGUAAAACUACAACUUCUUUUCUGAUAUUUGCUGGGUUUGCAUGUAUAUUUACCAUCUUUUUACCUGAUAAUUCUGGUUUUUUCUUCAGUCCAACUCUGUUAGCUUUGUGUGGAAAAUUGACCAUCAGUGCUGCCUUCAACAUAGUGUAUAUUUAUACUUCUGAACUCUACCCAACAGUAGUGAGAAAUGCUGGCUUGGGUGUCUGUUCAAUGACUUGCAGAUUUGGUGGUGUUUUGGCUCCAUUUGUGCCAUCCAUGAAAACUCUUAACCCAUCUGUACCAUUCAUGGUGUUUGGAAUCAGUGGAGUAUCAGCAGGAUUCUUGACUCUUCUUCUUCCGGAAACUCUUAAUAAGCCAAUUGCAGAGAGCAUUGAAGACCUUCAGGGUCCUGUAUACCAAAUGCUUAAAAACAAAAAGGCAGAGUAAAAAAACUUUUUUUUAAUCUAGUUUUUUAUUAAAGCAGUUUCCAUGCAUCUUACACAAGUCACACUGUAGCACACAUUUCUAAGUUAUUGAACUUGGAUGUUAAUCUUAAAUGUCUGUUUUUUCUUUAUUCAUAACAUCCUUGCUCUGUGUUUGUUAAAUAGAGUUUUACAAUUGUUUAUAUGUCAAAGAGGAAAGCUUUAAAAUAAAUUUUCUUGCACUCAUUUUCACCUGUGCAUAUGAUACAGCACAUAAGCCAUGGUGUAUUUUUGUUAUUGUUGAACAUAAUUUUAAAAAGCAGCCUGAAAUAGUCACAGGUGAUAUGUAGAUAACUUAACUUGUACUUCUGCAAUAAGGCAAUUAAGUCACUCUUAUGUAUUGCAUUGUACCCUUUCUAUUUAUGUCAAGUCCCUUACUAGAAUAUAACAUUGAAAAAAAAAGUGUAUGAUAUUUGAGGAGAGUGUUUAAUCCCUUAUUUAUUUCUCCUCCAUUGUUAGAAGCAUUUGGAACACUUUCCUCUAGUAGAUGAAUGCCUAAUAAAACUUUUGAAACUGAAAAGUAAAUUAGUUUUGUCUAAUUAAUGGUCAGCAAUGGUAGUUUCAAAAAUACAACCAGGACAAUUUGAAAAGAUAUACUGUAGCUGUAGUUUUUAGCUGAAAUCUAUUAUUACAAUUAACACUGAAGUGACUUCAUGCAAAUUGCUGAAAUUUGCAUAAAGUCUCUCUUCAAAGGAUGCAGCAAGCAUCAGUCUAUCGCUGUUAUACUGUAGAAACUACAGUUUUUCCUCCUCCAAACUUGUAUGAUGACACAAACUUUACUGUGAAGAAUCAAAACUUAAUUAUCUCACGAUAUAAAAUGUGUAACACAUUCAAAAAUUUUGCAUAUGUUGUCUUACUCAGAUGAAUAUGAAUGGUAGGAUUUCUAAUGACAACAACAAAGGUUAUCCUAUGAAGUCAACACAGGUAAACCAAUUAGAAGAAAACACUUAAAAUUUCAAAAAACAUCUUUCUGGUGAAAAAUCAAGCAUCUUUUGGUAAAGUGCUUUUAUAGUGAAGGUGUGGAGCCACUGAGAAACCAGAAUGGAAAUGUCAAGGGGCAUAAAGUAUAAUGCCACUUCCAGUAUGUUGAACAGUUUAUUUUUAUGUGGAGCACAACUGAGAAAAUGGAAAAAGUUUGCCAAAAUUUGUGGAAAGAGAUGGCAAAUCCUUGCAUUAAUUUAAUGACUUAAUUAACCACACUCGGGGCACAGAAGAUACAGUUUUUAAUAAAAAAAAUGUAAUAUUCCAUUAUUUUAUUUUAUAAGAUGUAACUGCUAGCUGUGAAUUGAAAUAUAAUGAUGAAAUUGAGGUAGUAUGUAAUAAGUGUUUUUUAAAAGAUAUUUUCUGAUUGGAAGGUUGCAGGGCAGCCUGGUUUGUUCAGUUAUUUUGUAAUUGUUAGAAAUAAUUGUAUCCUGUGCAUGCUAAUGUACUCAACAGAUUUUUUUCCUUUGUCAUUUGCUUUAAAUUACUGCAUACCUCAUCGUACAAAAAAACCAAAGAUUUGUAUAGAUUAUUGCCUUAACAGUAACAUUAAUAAUGUGAGAAACUCAAUCAAAUUGAUCAGGAAUUUUCAAAGAGAAGUAAAUUAACUUUAAUGCUGGAUACAGUAGUUUUUUUUAAAUAAGACCCAGUUGAACAACAGAGAAUGUAACAUGAAAAAUUGCAACAUUGGAAAGAAUGAUCUGAGGUCUUUGCAGACCAGAGGUACAUUUGAAAGAGGGAGUAAAUUAGUACUGAACAUUUUGUGAAAUAUUAAUUCAAACAAUGCAAUUAACCAGUAGCUAAGUGUAGCUAUAAUUACAGAACUAGAAGAAAAUUAUCAAAAAUGUAUCUAAUAUGAUAUAUAAUCAAAAAUGUUAUAUUCAGUUAGAAUUGGAAAUAUCUGCAAUAGAAACAUAAUUUCAGUAGAUUUCACUUACUUAUUGAUAUUUGUUUUUGAGUAGGGAUAUCAUAGUUGUUAUGAUUGGUUUGCCAAAACAGUAUUGUAAUUAAAUUUAAAGAAUUAUAAAUAUAAAAUUAAUGUCUCUUUUACAUGUAAAUUUGUCAUACUCUUAUAAGGAUAUUUCCUAUCAUUUGGACUUUAGUUCUUUUAUUAAAUGCAUCUGGUAGGAAAAGCUUAAGGAAAAGCCAUUGCAUUUUGACAAAAUGUUUGUAUUUAAAUUGAGUAUGCAAGGUAUAACACAUGGGCAGACUGCUUAGCCCCUGUGGAACCCCAGUGAAGUCUACAGGGGCACAACAGUCCAUCCGUAUGUUAUAAAUGGCAUGACUGAAUCCUUAAAUUGCAUAAAAUUAUUUAAAAUCACAAAAUACAGUUUGCAGAGAAAGUUAGGAUUUUAGAUUGCAUACAACGUCUAUAUAUGUGCAUUUAAGUCCUGUGCCAAAGUUCAAAGUAACACAAAACACACAAUUCUUAUUUUCUUAUAUAUAUUUAGUUGUCUUAUAUUCCAUUUUUAUGGGCUUUAGAACUCAGUUGGUGAAAGAGCUCCUGAAUACUUUCUGGUAGUCUCUUACCUUCCUUUAAUGUUCAUAAUCACAACAACUGAGGAUUCAUCUUCAAAGGAUAAUUACAUCAUCAAGGAAAUGGUAAAGAGGAGCUCAUAUUUCUAUCAAUUUAUAACUUUUUAUUAUGAAAAGCUCUGAUUCUUAUAUUUUUGGUAAUAAAAAUUGAAUCUUAAAACAUAUCAUUUUUCUUAGAAUCAGAAGUAACACAUUGAGAUAGGCUCUCCAAAAAUAUAUCAUUGUAUGGUGAAUGACUCAUGUCCCCUUUCUGCUAGAUGUUUAAUGUAUCAGCCUCAAUAAUGACUUUUCCACAUCCUUUUAUUCCAGUUCUUGUAGAAAACAGGUAAUAAAAAUAAAUUGUAUUUAAAAUG